rnacentral:rRNA from 1 species
UACCGGCGGCUCGAGUGGUGGCCACUAUUACUGGGCUUAAAGCGUCCGUAGCUUGGUUGUUAAGUCUCUUGGGAAAUCUGUCGGCUUAACCGACAGGCGUUUAAGGGAUACUGGCAAUCUAGGGACCGGGAGAGGUGAGAGGUACUUCAGGGGUAGGAGUGAAAUCCUGUAAUCCUUGGGGGACCACCUGUGGCGUAGGCGUCUCACCAGAACGGCUCCGACAGUGAGGGACGAAAGCUGGGGGAGCAAACCGG